AGCGAACGCUGGCGGCAGGCCUAACACAUGCAAGUCGAACGCCCCGCAAGGGGAGUGGCAGACGGGUGAGUAACACGUGGGAACGUGCCCAAAGGUACGGAACAACUCCGGGAAACUGGAGCUAAUACCGUAUGUGCCCGAGAGGGGAAAGAUUUAUCGCCUUUGGAUCGGCCCGCGUCUGAUUAGCUAGUUGGUGAGGUAAUGGCUCACCAAGGCGACGAUCAGUAGCUGGUCUGAGAGGAUGAUCAGCCACACUGGGACUGAGACACGGCCCAGACUCCUACGGGAGGCAGCAGUGGGGAAUAUUGGACAAUGGGCGCAAGCCUGAUCCAGCCAUGCCGCGUGAGUGAUGAAGGCCUUAGGGUUGUAAAGCUCUUUCGCCAGGGACGAUAAUGACGGUACCUGGAUAAGAAGCCCCGGCUAACUUCGUGCCAGCAGCCGCCGUAAAAC
rnacentral:rRNA from 1 species